rnacentral:misc_RNA from 1 species
GAAAUGCGAUAAGUAGUGUGAAUUGCAGAAUUCAGUGAAUCAUCGAAUCUUUGAACGCACAUUGCGCCCUUUGGUAUUCCAAAGGGCAUGCCUGUUCGAGCGUCAUUUGUACCCUCAAGCUUUGCUUGGUGUUGGGCGUCUUGUCUCUAGCUUUGCUGGAGACUCGCCUUAAAGUAAUUGGCAGCCGGCCUACUGGUUUCGGAGCGCAGCACAAGUCGCACUCUCUAUCAGCAAAGGUCUAGCAUCCAUUAAGCCCUUUUUCAACUUUUGACCUCGGAUCAGGUAGGGAUACCCGCUGAACUUAAGC